rnacentral:rRNA from 1 species
CUAAGUGAGCUACUUUGAAAUAGCCAUGAGAGCCAACCCAUCUCUGUUGCAAUAGAGUGGGACAAUUUUUAAGUAGAGGUGAUAAGCCUAUCGGACUUAGAGAUAGCUGGUUUUUUAAGAAAAGAAUUUUAGUUCAGCCCUAAGCCUCCUAUUACACAAAUAUUUUACUAGACUUAGGUGUUAUUCAAAUAAGGCACAGCUUAUUUGAAACAGGAUACAACCUACAACAAAGGGUAAGACAAAUUACACUUUUGAUAAGUGGGCCUAAAAGCAGCCACCUUUAAAAAAGCGUCAAAGCUUAACAUUAAAAUUUAAUUAAUACCCAAAACAACUUCUAACCCUUAUUAACUAUUAAAAAACCCCAUAAUAUUAUGGAAGUUAUUAUGCUAGAACAAGUAACAAGAAAAAGACUUUCUCCAAAAUGUAGACUUAAGCCAUGAUAGACAAACUGAUGGCAAUCAACGUUUAUGAGCCACUUAUAGCAACCCACCAAGAAAAUCCU